UGUAGUCAGCUCCCUCUACAGCAGAGUGCUUUGUGUAUCCCCUCUGAGACAUCCACUUGCCUUGGGCUUUGGAGAACUGGAGGGCUGUGGCCCUUCCACCAAGGAUGGUGAGGGUCAGGUGCUGCCAAACUUGAGCUUUUAUCUUGGGACUUGUGUAUUUCGGAGACGUACUAAGGAAGAUCACUGACACAGUGAGAGGUCUGGUGCACUUGUGCACAUACAUGGUGAGAAGUGAUAAAACACCAGAAGAAAUUCUUUGCCUUAACAGGCAGAGCAGGGAGCAGUGAGAGUGGGAGGACGAUUAAAUGAGUGGUUUGGAGAAGCUAGUCAUCACAUCUGAAGUAAUGGUAAAAUUAUCACCUUUUCUGCACCAAACUUAAAUAUUGGGGUCAGGGAAGGAUGGCAAACUUCCCUGUUCCUUCCUGUGGUUAGCUUCUUUCUUAUGGGUAGGUCUGAGCCAUGCUUUCUGGCACAGAAAACCAUCACAAUAUAGCAAAACCAUGAGCUAAAGCAGUGAUAUCCAAACAUGCAUUAACCCUUGGUAGCCUGGACAUACUCGCAGAGCUGUUAAAUCAUUCCUAUUAGAGGCAGUAGUAUCAGACUCAGUAAAAUUCUGCAUAAUGACUGUUCUGCUUCUCUAUAAGGAAAUUGCUACAUUAGUCAGUAUUACUCAAUAUCUAGAUACAGCAGA